rnacentral:rRNA from 1 species
GACGAACGCUGGCGGCGUGCCUAAUACAUGCAAGUCGAACGCAGUGGGGACGGGUGAGUAACACGUGGGUAACCUCCCAUCAGAGGGGAUAACACUUGGAAACAGGUGCUAAACCGAUACUGAUGGAUGGACCCGCGGUGCAUUAGCUAGGGGGUGAGGUAACGGCUCACCAAGGCCACGAUGCAUAGCGGGCCUGAGAGGGUGAUACGCCAAACUGAGACUGAGACACGGCCAAGACUCCUAAGGGAGGCAGCAGUAGGGAAUCUUAGGCAAUGGACGAAAGUCUGACCGAGAAACGCCGCGUGAGUGAAGAAGGUGUUCGGAUCGUAAAACUCUGUUGUUAGAGAAGCGGUAUCUAACCAGAAAGCCACGGCUAACUACGUGCCAGCAGCCGCGGUAAUAC